rnacentral:lncRNA from 1 species
GAAAUAAAGAAUUAGGGAUAAAAGAAUCAAAAUCUAAGUAGAACUAAAUUGAAAUAGUCCUUAAUUGCAAUAGUUCUUAAAGAUGACCUAAUUCAUUGCCUGCAAUUGUUCUACAGGCAAGGAAUCAGAUCCAGAGGGGAGACUUGGUUAAAUCGCAAAACUGGUUUGGAUCACAUAUUCCUCAAGAGAAUUAUCCUCAAAAAAACAGAAUCCUCAUGGGAUUGUAAUACACAGUUCCUGGAAUGUUUAUUAGUUUAGGUGAGAAACUUCUGUUGCUUCUAAAUUUAUAAAUGCCUUCUAGUGUUUCCAGUACUCUUAGGCUUUAGUUAUCUUUAGUUUUAUAUUUCCACAAAUGCUGAAGAGUUCUCAUAUUCUAUUCAG